ACCGUUCUAUUCCGUGAACAUCUAUCUGAUUAAAUUAUGGGUGGAAAGUUACCACAAGAUAUUCUAUGAACAUAUUACAAUAUCUUCCUGGAGGGGUAAAAUUUUCCAUUACAAGGUUUUAAGAGAGGCCAUUUACUGUUCAAUUUGCGUUCAUUUUCAAAUUUGCCGCGCGAGUAUCUAUGUAGCGUCGCGUGGUCAUUGGUCAUCACAUUUCAUUUUCAUAAGAUAACCGAUAACCUAAAAAUUUAGUAAAAAUUUUGAUUGGAAAAAAAUGCAUCGAUAAGGGGGUGUGGGAAAUGGAAAUUAGUGGCUUUUUUGCUGUACUGUCUGCUAGUUUUUGCUCUGGGCUCUGGCUUAAUCUCUUGUUUAAACAAUUUUAAUCAGCUGAAAGUGGCCUACAAAAAAAAACCAAGAAGGAAAUGUAUAGCCUUGUGGCUAUGAAAGGCAAAAGAGAGAUAUAAAAAGUGUAUUGGCUAGUUGGAAGAAAGUCCACAUUGUCCAUGCAUAAUAAGUUAUUAUUUUAUCAACAAAUAUCAAGAAGAUAGCAGGGUCACGAGCAACAACUUCAUAAGUUCAAGAAUAUCGAGGAAAUCCAGCUCCUCGAUACUACUGGG